rnacentral:rRNA from 1 species
AGCGGCGAAGGGGGGCGUAACACGUGGGCAAUCUACCAAGAAGUGGGGGAUAGCUCGGCGAAAGCCGAAUUAAUACCGCAUGUGAUGAGGGAAGACAUCUUUCCGAAAUCGAAGGUGGCGCAAGCUACCGCUUUUUGUGGGGCCCGCGGCCUAUCAGCUUGUUGGUGAGGUAACGGCUCACCAAGGCUAUGACGGGUAGCUGGUCUGAGAGGACGACCAGUCACACUGGGACUGAGACACGGCCCAGACACCUACGGGUGGCAGCAGUCGAGAAUUUUUGACAAUGGGGGAAACCCUGAUCGAGCGACGCCGCGUGGAGGAUGAAAGUCUUCGGGUUGUAAACUCCUGUCAUUUGGGAACAAGGCGUACGUAUUAACUGUGCGUGCGUUGAUAGUACCAGAAGAGGAAGAGACGGCUAACUCUGUGCCAGCAGCCGCGGUAAUACAGAGGUCUCAAGCGUUGUUCGGAUUCAUUGGGCGUAAAGGGUGUGUAGGUGGCGCGCUAAGUCGGGUGUGAAAUUUCGGAGCUUAACUCCGAAACUGCAUUCGA